rnacentral:rRNA from 1 species
CACCUUUGACAUGUACGGAAUCCUUUAGAGAUAGAGGAGUGCUCGAAAGAGAACCGUAACACAGGUGCUGCAUGGCUGUCGUCAGCUCGUGUCGUGAGAUGUUGGGUUAAGUCCCGCAACGAGCGCAACCCUUGCCAUUAGUUGCUACGAAAGGGCACUCUAAUGGGACUGCCGGUGACAAACCGGAGGAAGGUGGGGAUGACGUCAAGUCCUCAUGGCCCUUAUAGGUGGGGCUACACACG